rnacentral:lncRNA from 1 species
AAUUAAUCACAUGAUGCCUUAAUAUAAAUCCGGUUUAAGGUAGUUAGUACAGCAGUAGUUCUUAUAACGCUACAUUUUAGUACUACAUUAAUUUUCCCUGUACAUAUAUUUAGUGAUCUUUUCACUUAAACUAUAAAUGUAAAAACUAUAUUUUGUUAAUAAUAGUUACACUUGGGAAAAUUACACACUUUUACAUGAAACGAACAUUUAGAACAGUUAAGUCUUGGUAGAAGACUACAUUGAGAACAGUUAGGUCUUGGUAGAAGACACCCUUAUAUAAUAGUAGGAAUCAUAGGGAUUUCUAGGGUUUUUCAAACGUUUACAGUUGUUUUACAAACAUUUUUACACUUACAGUUCAUAUACAUUUUCAAUACUUACAAUUCAUAUACAUUUUCCAUACUUACAGUUCAUAACCUUACAAAUUCUUACAUACAAAUUAAGACACUAAAAUACUUAUGAUCUCACCAGCUUCAAAGCUGAUACUCGCUUUCAAAAUUACUUGUAUCCUCAGGUCAUCAUAGACAGGUACCGAUGCAAGGAGAAAGGAAGAUGGAGCUUGUUCAAGACUCAUCUUUCAUUUUGAUUUAUGCUUUAGUGUUUAUCAAAAUUUGACAGAACACAUUUGUAUAAUAAUUAUAUUAUUAAUGCAAUGGAUGAUGUUGUUGCUUGUUUACUACUUUACAUUGUUGUGAUACUGUACAUGACGUCCUCCGCCCCAGAACGUUUCCGCCGUUCUUGGUUUUGGGGUGUGACAGAUUGGUAUCAGAGCAUUGUUUAUAGUGAAUUAAGUAUAUCAACCCAUAAAAGAUAUACUAACUAUAAAUACAUAAGGGAUUAAAAAUACUCUGACCAAGAGUUUAUACUUUAAAUAAUAAAAUAUUUAAGUAAGUAUACGUGCCUCAUUCAUACUAAAAUCAGUGUCACUAGGACAGUACAAAAGAAUUACGAUUGUUGGGCAACACAAGUGGGCUUAGAGACAUAUGGUCAAAACUGGGAAGAUAUAGCCUGAUCACCUAUAUUAUCCGAGGGUUGACUAGCAUGUGCCUAAGUUUAAUUGUGUGGUUGCAACAAUGCUAAAAUCUUACCAACCCUACCACAAUGAGAACAAUAGAACAUAACAUUAAAAUUAAAAUACUAUAGGAGUAUUUGGUGUUACUAUAAGUACUUUAUACUUGAGAACUAAAACGGGAUCUUCAUUACUAAGUUGAUAGUUGCUAAGUGGAUACACUAAGGCUAUAUGUAAUUAGGAUGUUAUAGACUUAGAAUCUGUGGAAAUUUUACUUCACCCCUAUUCUGUGUGAAUACGGAGUUAAGGUCACUUAUUCGAAGGUCUAUCCUGUUUAGAUUACAUAUAACUGGUAUGCACUUCACAAAUAGCGAUGUAACUGAUGAAGAUUUUCUAAAUAAUUAUCUAGAUAGUUCGUCUAAUAAUUAUUUCUUUACCCCCAAAUUCUCGCAUAGAUAACAUAGCUGUACUCCAUCCCUACGUCAACCAGUACCUUCCGAAUGAGGUCAUUGUUGGAUGGUUUGAAGAAGAACCAGAGAAUGAUCAUCCUAUCCCUUUGAAUGAUCACCAUGAUGAAAACCUUUCGGACGAUGCUAAUUCAAAACCAGAGGUUGAGAACCUACCCCAGGCAGCUCCCGUUCCAAUUCCUAACCCUCGUUCGGCUUUUCAUGGCCCGACCUUGAGUGAGUGGAAUGUUUGGAGACAUGGAGCCAAGGACAAGAUCAGCCUAUGCCAUUUAAUGGCGACCGAAGCUUUUACGACUUGAGCAAUGGGGGCUCAGCAGAUAGAGUCUUGCCAAUCUUGGUCCGCAGAGUGGCCUGAAAUGAGAUUCAAGGCAGGACAGCCUUACAUCAGAUUACCGAAGUUGUCGCCGAUGCGAGAAUGCAUACCCUCCGCACCAUUCGUCUAGAAGAUGCUCACGAGAGAUCAGAGAGAAACCAUGAAACCCUGCUGCAAGCACUGGCUGAAUCACGAGCCGAAGUCAUAGAGCUCCGAGUACGCCAGAGGGUGUACGAAAGACACCUACUUGACGUGGAACAUCAACUGGCUGAACUGAGAGUUCACCAGAGGGAUGACCGUCGCCAGGAGUAGAUGCUUUACCUUACUUCCCUUGUUAGAAAGUAAUCGUUUUUUGUCUUUGCCUGAUGUGGCAUUUUCUAUGAAAUUAUCUUGUACUGUAAGUACUUUUAGUUAGGUCUUUAUGCUGUCAAGGACGAUCUUCUCUAGAUAUGAUGUAAGACCUUUACAAGGUCAUUUUCCCGAAUCUUUACAUCGUAAAUAUCAAAGAUAUUGACAGCCGGCUAACUUUUCUGUUAUUCUUCAUUCAAGUACUCUUAUCAUACUUUCAUUGGGGUCUAUCUGAAACAUGCUUUAGUCAAGUCAUUGGACUAUAGUGAUUUAUCUCCGGAGACAUUUCCAAGUCUCUUUCAGUGGUUGGAUCUUGUUAUUCACCAACCCACGAUACCUCGGCUUGCACAACAAACGUUUUGAGACCAUUCUACGAACUUACUUCUACUCAUUACUAGGACUGCAUCAUAGGGAUGUAGGUCAAACCUUCGCGAACAUACUUCCAUUCUGUACUAGGACUGCAUCAUAGGGAUGUAGGUCAAACUUUCGAGAACAUAGUCGUACUCUUUACAUGAACAAUCUAAGUACAUCAAGGGUCAACCAGAAUCACUCACAAAACCCUUAUCUUUCGUGUUACAGAAUCAUGUCGUCAUCCGGAAGCAAUCAGUCGAACAGCGAAACCUCCGCUUUUCCUAUGGACGCCGCUACCUUUCAAACAGCAGUUACAGCUGCCGUAACCGCGGUCCUUGCGCACCGUAGCGCUAUCAGCACAGUCAAUGCUGCUGAUGGGAAUGAAGUUUCCAAUCGUGGUAUCCAUCCAGGAAGUCGCCAAACAGUAACAGUCACAGGCUCGCAAAGCCGAAAAGCAGAGAACAAGAAACGAAAGCGUCAAGCCCGGAAAGAACACAAGAGAUCCCAAAGGCUGGCUGUACAACAACAGCAAGUAGAAACCUCUGCCAUCCCCGUACCGAGAAGACGAUACAAAGGAACACUCCCGAAGUACGAUCGGUGCAACCACCACCACAAGGGAAUUUGCCGAGCCUGGCAAUGCAAAAAUUGCAACCAGAUGGGACACAUUGCUCGUUUCUGUAGAACUACCUCCAACACUGGAGCAAGCCUAGUUUGCUAUAGUUGUGGUGAGGCAGGGCACUAUUACAAAAAUUGCCCAAAAGAGAAGAUCAACGAAAGCAACCGUGUGCCCAUAACUCCUACUCGACACUUCACUUCCAACACCAAUGUGGGUGCUGUCCAUAUAUGUCACCAAUGCGGUGAAAUUGAACACCUCAAGAAGGAUUUCCCUAUAACGCAGAACUCUGGCGCAGACGGGAAAAUUCUCAGGAUCACGGCUGCAGGAGAGCUUUCUCCGGAACCACGUUAAAUGUAAUUUAGGCGUUUCGUUGUAACAGACUUAUAAACUAUCCCGAACUAGUGCAACUAGAGUCCUAUCUUUUGCGAGAUCCCGUAGGAUUAGGGAUGCUCGUGCUGCGUAUACUUGUCUUUUGUAGUAUACCUUUUUAGCAGCAAUAGUCUUGUAGGAACUCUGUGGAUGGUUGCACGGUUGUGUUUUUUCUGUAAAACGUCUUAUAUUCAAAUCUAAUGUCUUUAAGUUUCAGUAUGAUUCCGACAUUAUCAUACGACUCGAGUCAAUUUGAUCCUCACAAAAACAGCUUUUUACGUACAUCUCUUCCUUCUAGAUCACUUUUCCAGCGAAGUCGUCAUAUCAGAACACCGAAGUACUCAUGCUAGGAGUACCUCUUAGUUAUUUUUCCAAAGAAAUCCCCGAAGUACCACUCCUGCAGUACGUUAAGUUCAAUCCAAGGAUUUAUACGAUUGAUCUAUCACUGAGGAAUGUAUGCAUAAGAGUGAUAUAUAAUCAAGGUUCUACAGGUUUAGAAUUGAUGAUUUCACUUUAACUUCUUUUUCCCCCAGGGGAUGUGAGCUUAAAGAAGAAUCAGUUAUUCGACUACCUUUUCAAUCUUAAUCAUAUACGACUCGUAUACACGAAAAAGUGAUUGUGAAACCAGGUAUGAAUUCUAAUAUGAACUUCAGGACGGAGAACUGCCUAAGCCUACGAGAGAUCGCAUCGUCAUGUGAACAAACUUAGAACCCAGUACGACUCGUGUAAACAGAUCGCCCUAUAGUUUAAACACCUACGGAGAUACAAGAACAGUCCGGACAACUUAGCGAACUACACAGAAAUAGAAUUAGAAGACUAGGUUUCUCACCCUAGAGAACCCCGGUCAUAUUCUUCCAGAGAUCGACGGAUCGCAUUGUAUGUACCUUGGUUAUCAAGGACUCCGUCAAGAUUUUUCAUUAGGAAUCAUUAUCUCUGCCUCGCAUAAAUGAAAUGGUUGAGCAAACGCAAGGAAAGAAUUACUUUCAGAAAUGGAGCUGAGAUCUGAAUAUCACCAGUUCGAGUGUUAGAGAAGGAUGUCUGUAAGACUAUCUUCCGAACUCGAUAUGGACACUUCGAGUCCGUAGUGAUACCCUUCGGAUAGGACCAAUACACCCAUAGCUUUCAUGAGCUAAACAAAUAGGGUACGUCUUUCUUACUUGGAUCAAUUCGUCAUUUCUCCAUGUAAUGACUUACUUAUCUACCCUCGUAGUAAGAAGAAAACCCAUGGAAACAUUUCCUACAGAGGAACUUUUAGCGAAGUUCUCUAGGCACGAGUUUUGAAAUUGAAGAGUCAAAUUUCUAUGACACACUGUUGUAAUGUGGGAAAUUUUGAGUACUCUUUCAAUUUGUCAAAGCCGUUGAGCAUUUGUCGACACCAGAGACGCCGACAGUCAUUCGCCAAAUUCUAGGUCUUACCGACCUACCGUCUUAGUUCAUUCAGAACUCCUCGCAAAUUACAGAAACCCGUACGACUUUGACCCAGCAAGGGGUGGCCUUUGACUGGGAAGUUAAGCAAGAAAAGGAACCUUUGGAAUUCCAAGUGAGUGACCAAGCUCUUUAGGUUAACUCACUCUGGGAAUGGCUUAAUACGCUUCGUAUCGCGUGGAAAGCUAAAUCCAAUAUAGUUAGGACCUCCGAGAUUCUUAUCAGAAUCGGUCCUGUGCCUCGCACAAACUAGACCUACUCCGCGAACUCAGUAACGUACAUUCUACUCUUCGCGUCUCGAUCGUGAAACCAUACCUUUCCGUUAGGACUCUUGUAAGUCCACUCGUCGAGAUCCUCGCCUUCGUAUUAGAACCGUAGUGACCCUCGACCGAGAGGUCAAGCGGACGAAGCAACGCCGUCGCCAGUUAGUGAAGGUUCGUUGGAAUGCCAACCGAGAACCCGAUUUCACUUAAGUGCGCUAGAACCAAUCGAUUAGGAAGUUUCCUCCUCACGACUCGAUCAUUCGUACAUACUUCCUUGCCUAAAUUCUAAUUUCGGGACGAAAUUCCCUUCAACAGGGAGAUAAUGUGACAACCCGAAAUUUCCAUUCUGAACAAACCAUUUGAAGCCAAUAGAAGUAGAACAGUUACAGUGAAAACUCAGAUUUCGAGUAUAAGUUUGGCAGUUUUCAAGGUUUUACACUUAAGGAGAUAUAAGGAGAGUGGAUGCACUAGGGUUUUGUGCAACACUGUUAUUCCAAUACUCUAGGAUAUUAGAGUUCAUUCCGAGAAUAGAAAUAUUUUCUGCCAAAAAUCCCAGGACUAUAUAUAGAAAACUGAACCAAAUUGGUUCAUUAGUUGAAUUCCAAUUAGAGAAAAGCCAAAAUUCUCUCUCACGGAUCUUCGGGUUUUUAUCCCAAAUUGUGAGUACUUCGAUCUAGUUAUUUUAUAUAGCUUAGAUUGUGUUUAGAAACGCCAAUUACAUAACAAAUCUGCAAGAUUCGGGAGUUUACCGCCCAAGAACGUUCUUGGGGAGUAAACUCCAAUAAGUGGCUUAAAUGCUACCUAGUCCUUUCCCCGUGACUUGUAACUACCUUAGACUUGUAUGCUAGUGUGUAUACGACUAGAAAACAUCGAAAUCGGAUUAAUAACCCAAGAUUUGGGAGUUUACCGCCCAAGAACACUUGGGGAGUAAACUCCAUUUUAAGGUCCUAAAGGGUUCCAAUGACCCUCAAAGCUUUAGAGCUCGAACUAGAAGCCUUCAUUUCAUGUUUAGAACACCAAAAUCAUUUCAAAACAAUGAGGAAAGUGAGUUCACGGCCAAGGAAGUUCUUGGGCCGUGAACUCCAUGUUAAGUGCCCAAAGUGCCCUAAAUGCCUUCAUUGAACCAAUAGACUAGCAUAGCACAUUACCUUGAUGUGUCUAAGACCCAAAGCAAUCAAAAUACCAACACCUAGGGGUGUUCACGGCCGUAAACACAUGGCCAAUUGGUUCAUGGGCCGAAAACUCUAAAUAGGGGUGUUUUGAUGCCACAAACACUUCCUAAGGCUUAGGCUUAAAUUAGGACAAGUACUCUAAAGUGUUUAUAGCCUAGAAAACAUAAGGAAUCACAUGUAUUAAGGAGUUUACGGCCAAGACAAGUUCUUGGGCCGUAAACACCUAUAAAGGGGUCAAAUGACACCCUAACUCCUUCCUUAUGCCUAGAACCCAACAUAGAUCAUAACCUUGAAAUGUUAGAGACUUGAAAACACCAUAAACACCCUCCCAAGGGAGUUUACGGCCGUAAACUCCAAGGGAAUAUGGUCCCAGGGCCGUAAACUCCUCAAAGGAGUUAUUAGGAAGCCCAAACACUUGUUUAAGCCUUGAAGCAAUUCACCACAUGAGUUGUAUAAUUGUUAGACUUCAUUUAGGGACUUGGUUGAGAGUUUACGGCCAGGAGUUUACUCCCCUGGGCCGUAAACUCCAAAACAUAUGGUCAUUAGACCAUAAACUCCCAUUAGGGGCAUUGCACUCCUUUGUUGCAACCCAUUAGCCUCCUAGCACUUGACCAAAAGUGUUUUCCUCGCGUUUAAAUGUUUAUACUUGUAUAAUUAGUGUUUUAAUCACUAAUUAUUUAUAUACAUAUGUCUUCAUAUGUAAUUAGGAUCAUUGUGUGUGUCUAAGUCUUCACUUGACACCAAGCACUUGUCCGAUCCUUCCUUACGAUAACAGUCCGUUCAAUUCCAGUCACUUACUGCAGGUGAGUUCAUACCCCUUAACUAAUGUUUUAAACUAUUUUUAAAUGUUUUAUGGGGGGGAUACAAGUAGAAUCAUGCUAGUUAUUAUAUCAAUCACAUGUGAUUAAUAAGUAGAAUUAUGCUAGUUAUUACAUCAAUCACAUGUGAUUAAUAUACAACAUUCAAAUGAUUUGGCUACUCAUUAGCCGUUUUACCAAACAGUUUCCUUCAAAUGAUUUUUAUAAACAUUUUAUAUGUUUUAAACUCCUUAUUACACUGUACAUUUUACUCUGUAUAUUACAUUUCAAACUUAUUUACAAUUGUGUUUCAAACAAAUGUUUCUUUAUACUAAACUGUUUUAUCAAACCCAUGCCUUCAAAUUGUUUUAUAGAUUGACAUCAAGUCGAUCUUUUCUUAAGAUAAUAAUUAUGUUCAAAUGUUUUACAAAACUUAUUUAUGCUUUUAUAUUAUAAAUUGCAUGCCUCUAUAUGUAUAGUUAUAUAAGAAAUGUUUAAAAGACUUAGGAAGGCUAUCCACCCUAUUUCCUUUUCGCGCUUGAGAUGUGGUCUGGUGGGAUAUCGGGUACUCGUCCGAAGGUCGUUUAAAUAUUAGUUAUAUAUCAUGUGUACAUAUAUAGUCAUAAAAGGCCCUUCCAGUUCAUCCCAUGCCCUUGGGUAGCAAGGGUAUACAUCCAUGUUCAUACGUACCAGUUAGAUUACUAGUAAACUACCAUAUGGGUAGUUUAGGAAGAUACUAGAACAAUUACUAGAACGCGAUAUCAUACAAUGAGUCAGUUCAUUCAUGAGUCAAUACUUUCUAGAACAUUACAGUACAUUACAUAUACAACUAUACUAGGAAGAGAACAUAUACAACUAUACUAGAAUGAUUACAUUACUAUACUUGCUAGGUAGAGAGCACGUACAUUACAGCUAGAACAGUUCAUUACAUUACAUAUACAUGAAUACGUUAAUAAUUGUGAUCCACUGUAUCGGAGCAUGCCUUAAAUGUCAUGGCCCGAGUUGUAGCCAGAAUUCUCUUGGAGGGAGAGCGUGAGUUUGCGUAUAGAUCUAUACUGGAUUGACUAUCCUACACCUUGCUGCUAGCUACAGCCGGACCUGCAGGUCUGCGGGUGCCAAACGUCAUUCCGUUAUUACGACCAUUCGUAUGUCGUUGUUACCAGUCGAUAGUAUGGUGCAAUUUAUCACAUGAUGCCUUAAUAUAAAUCCGGUUUAAGGUAAUUAGUACAGCAGUAGUUCUUAUAGCGCUACGUUUUAGUACUACAUUGAUUUUCCCUGUACACAUAUUUAGUGAUCUUUUCACUUAAACUAUAAAUGUAAAAACUAUAUUUUGUUAAUAAUAGUUACACUUGGGAAAAUUACACACUUUUACAUGACACGAACAUUUAGAACAGUUAAGUCUUGGUAGAAGACUACAAUGAGAACAGUUAGGUCUUGGUAGAAGACACCCUUAUAUAAUAGUAGGAAUCAUAGGGAUUUCUAGGGUUUUUCAAACGUUUACAGUUGUUUUACAAACAU